GCACAACGCUGCACAGUACUGUGUGCAGUGUGCCUGCAUUCAGUUCAAAAACAGAGAGGGACGCUUUCAGCAAGACCACACUCAACAAGAGCUGAUAGAAAAGUCUAAGCAAGUUUCAGUUGUGCAGGAUGGCUAAUGAGUGGAGUGGUGAAUUUUCUGGUAGAGUGAUGCAGUUUCUCAGUGGGCUCGUUGGAUGGUGGAGUUGCUGGAGCUGGUGGGGUGGUUUGAUGAUUAGCCUGUAAGAUAGAAUUGAAUUGAAUUUCACUUCGCUAUGUCACAAAUAUUUUAUGUUUAACUACAUUGCUACAUUUGCUUGACUUUUUAAGUAACUGUUGCUGUACUUGUGACAUUUAGUUUUUACUGUUUUUACUAUCAUCACUGGUAUAAAAUUAAAAGGAUGCAAUGGUUAUUUUCAUGUUUAUGCCUUUUCUGGUCUCAUUUUUCUACCUGUAAGAGGUUUAAUGAGUGUGACGACACUGGUUUGUGUGUGUGCUAUGUGGGGGUCUGAGUGAAAGAUGCAUGCUUUGCAGAAUCAGAUCCAGAAACAACGUCGCAAACAACAUUAGACAUUGUGUUAUUAUAAAGAUUUUCUGUUCGUUUUAAAACUAUGGCGAAACAAUGUAGACGUGACAGGUCGUCAUAUUCUAAACGGCCGUUCCGUUCAUCAGAGGUGUAAAGAGUACCUGAAAACCAUACUUAAGUAAAAGUACAGAUACCUUGCAGCGAAAAUUACUCCAUUACAAGUUACAAGUUACCAAUUCCAAAACGACUUCAGUAAAAGUCUUCGAGUAUCUGAUUUGAACAGUACUUGAGUAUUUUACUCAUACUGAAUGUAGGCUCAAAGCAGCACUAGUCCUCAACACUUAAGAGACAUGUCAGUGAAAAACAAGAAACAGUCGAUUCGUGAGGAGAGCAAUCGCAUUUAUUUUCUUAAAUCAUAAUAAGACUGAACACCUCAAAAUUGCAACAAAUCAUGGUCGACACCAUAACCUACAUCUAUUACAAACACCAAAGUCUCAUUUAAGCUCAAGUGCUCAUAAGUAAGCCAACAUUCUUCAAAAAGGUCUCUUCAAUAUAACGGAUAAAUAAAAUAAUGUUAAGUAGAAUUAAAAAGUCAAAGCCUUUUUGCACUGGACAUGCUGGUUUUGGCCUCAUCGCCAGCUGCAGUCAUGUCCUCAUUUUACAUAUAAACCGCCAGCGAUUCACAACUACCUGAUACUGCACUCGUAUUCACAUAAAGAAGCCAUGUUGACAAGUUUUAGUAAGUUAGGGCAAAAUCCACAAGAUUAUAGUACCUGCAAUGCCCUGUAAAUGGCAAUAUUAAUUCUUCUGUAGCAAAAAUAAACGGCUGCAAAAAAGAUAGGUGCCAUGCAAAAUGUAAUGUGUAAUUGCAUUAGUCAUUACAAAUGUAGUGGAGUAAAGAGUACAUAUACUUGUUCAAAAAUGUAGUCAAGUAGAGAGUAAAAGUUGCUAAUAUCUUUAAUACUCAGUACAACUACAAAGUAGCCAAAAAGAUACUUAAGUACAGUAACUAAGUACAUUUACUCCAAUACUUUACACCACUGCCGUUCAUAUUAUAACUACAUUUGCGUCCACACCAGCGGACGACAACGAUAACGUUGUGUUUAUUUUAGGCCUGCGUGCUGCAGUGUUCCCAUUCGGUAAAAAUGAAGAUGACCUGCUGCAGAUGCUUUCGUUUACAUUCCCGAACGUCUUUUCUCCAAAAUAUGACCGCAACAGCUGGAUGAUCACUCUGACACUUCUCUUCCAGGGAGGCAAAAAUGCAAAAUAUGUGUUUGGUUCGUCAUGUGUGGCUCGUAAUGUCAAAAUAUGUGUUCGUCGCGUGAACGAUGUGCAUCACGUAUCAUGUCAAUAAUAAUAAGUGCCUGCUUUAGAUGCGUCAAGAGGGUUUAUUAUAAAAGAGAUGCUCGCGUUUGCUAGAGACUCGCUUCUCGUGUGUAAUUAUAGUUAAGUGUUAAGAGAGUGUCUAGCGAGUAUGUUGUGAAUGCGAGCGUCUCUUGAGACGCGACGAAAACAUAUUUUGACAUGACGAGCCACA